GACGAACGCUGGCGGCGUGCCUAAUACAUGCAAGUCGACCGCAGUGGGGACGCGUGAGUAUCACGUGGGUAACCUCCCAUCAGAGGGGAUAACACUUGGAAACAGUUGCUAAAACGAUACUGAUUGAUGGACCCGCGGUGCAUUAGCUAGUUGGUGAGGUAACGGCUCACCAAGGCCACGAUGCAUAGCAGAACUGAGAGGAUGAUCGACCACACUGGGACUGAGAGACGGGCCAUACUCAGACUGGAGGCAGAAGUAGGGAAUCUUCGGCAAUGGACGAAAGUCUGACCGAGCAACGCCGCGUGAGUGAAGAAGGUUUUCGGAUCGUAAAACUCUGUUGUUAGAGAAGCGGUAUCUAACCAGAAAGCCACGGCUAACUACGUGCCAGCAGCCGCGGUAAUAG
rnacentral:rRNA from 1 species